AUACAUGCAGUCGAGCGAAUGGAUUAAGAGCUUGCUCUUAUGAAGUUAGCGGCGGACGGGUGAGUAACACGUGGGUAACCUACCCAUAAGACUGGGAUAACUCCGGGAAACCGGGGCUAAUACCGGAUAAUAUUUUGAACUGCAUAGUUCGAAAUUGAAAGGCGGCUUCGGCUGUCACUUAUGGAUGGACCCGCGUCGCAUUAGCUAGUUGGUGAGGUAACGGCUCACCAAGGCGACGAUGCGUAGCCGACCUGAGAGGGUGAUCGGCCACACUGGGACUGAGACACGGCCCAGACUCCUACGGGAGGCAGCAGUAGGGAAUCUUCCGCAAUGGACGAAAGUCUGACGGAGCAACGCCGCGUGAGUGAUGAAGGCUUUCGGGUCGUAAAACUCUGUUGUUAGGGAAGACCAAGUGCUAGUUGAAUAAGCUGGCACCUUGACGGUACCUAACCAGAAAGCCACGGCUAACUACGUGCCAGCAGCCGCGGUAAUACGUAGGUGGCAAGCGUUAUCCGGAAUUAUUGGGCGUAAAGCGCGCGCAGGUGGUUUCUUAAGUCUGAUGUGAAAGCCCACGGCUCAACCGUGGAGGGUCAUUGGAAACUGGGAGACUUGAGUGCAGAAGAGGAAAGUGGAAUUCCAUGUGUAGCGGUGAAAU
rnacentral:rRNA from 1 species